UGGCCGCUUGGGGAGGGGUUUCAAACUUAAUGCCCCUCCACAGUACCACAGGUUCGAAUCAGAGAGUAUCCAUGUGGAAAGUCCUCUUUACUCGGACAGUCCUUUUCUGUGCGGGGACAAUGCUUAGUUAGUCACUCUAGAUCCUCGGAUAAGGAACAGUUAUAGUUCCCUAGCUAACCAACAAGAAAUGGCAGUGGAAGGGUUGAGCAAAGAGAGGCCUGGUUCUGGUAGUUGCGUGUCCGUGGGGGGAUGUAGGGAGCAUGGCGCCGGUGGUGAUCAAGCUCUUUUGGCCCAGGGACAUACAAUUGAAUGUGGUUGAU
rnacentral:sRNA from 1 species